rnacentral:rRNA from 1 species
AUGGGAGGUUUUGAAGAUGAUGAACCACCCUCAAAACGCGCAAGAGCAUCCUCAGUAGAGUCGGCAAAUUUACCAGAAAAUUUCUGUUAUUCGAAAUCCAUUAACCCUUUGGGAGGUACAAUGGCUAGACCUUUGGCUUCCCAGGGGAAAGAAGUUAUGGUUGGUUCUAAAGGUGUUAUUAAGAGGGACGAAUUUGUGAGGAUAAUCACAAAAGCUCUGUAUACUCUUGGAUAUGAAAAAAGUGGAGCUGUUCUUGAGGAAGAAUCAGGUAUUACAUUGCAUUCUCCGUCGGUGAAUCUAUUCAGAAAGCAGGUGCUUGAUGGUAAUUGGGACAAUGCAGUAGCUACCUUGAAUAAACUUGGCCUUCUGGAUGAAAACAUUGUGAAGUCUGCUGCAUUUUUGUUAUUGGAGCAGAAAUUCUUUGACCUUUUGAGAAAUGACAACUUAAUGGGUGCCAUAAAGACGUUGCAAAAUGAAAUCUCCCCCCUUGGUGUUAACAGAAAACGAGUUCAUGAAAUGUCAAGUUGCAUAAUUUCUUCUCCGCAGAACUUCUUGCUUGCAUUUCCAAAGCUUGGAACCGAAGCUUCUGACUCACGCCUUAAGCUCCUAGAGGAAUUGCAAAAGGUGCUCCCACCUGCUGUUAUGGUACCAGAGAGGAGGUUAGAGAAUAUAGUUGAACAGGCACUUACUGUACAACGUGAAGCUUGUUAUCUCCAUAAUUCUAUUGAUGGCUUGUCACUAUAUGUUGAUCAUCACUGUGGGAGGGAUCAGAUACCAUCUCGAACACUGCAGGUUCUGUGUGCACACGGUGACGAAGUAUGGUUUCUUCAAUUCUCAAACAAUGGGAAAUAUUUAGCCUCGUCAUCAAAUGAUAAAUCUGCAAUUAUAUGGAAGGUCGAUGAAGAUGGAGAACUAUUGCUGAAGCAUAGAUUGACUGGUCAUGAGAAACCAGUGAUGAUGGUUGCAUGGAGCCCUGAUGAUAGCCAGCUUCUUACAUGUGGAAUGGAAGAAGCCAUCCGGCGUUGGAAUAUUGAAUCUGGUGAAUGUAUUCAUGUCUACGAGAAGCCUGGCCUUGGUUUGACGUCAUGUGGUUGGUUUCCAGACGGAAAGCAAAUAUUGUGUGGUCUAUCUGAUCAAAGCCUUUGCUUGUGGGAUUUAGAUGGUAAAGAGGCAGAUUGCUGGAAAGGGCAGCGGUCAUCAAAAACAUCUGAUUUUGCUGUAACAAAAGAUGGCAAAGUUAUAAUAAUUAUGAACAGAGAUUCCACAAUUCUUUUAUUCAAUAGGGACACGAAACAGGAGAGGCUGAUUGAAGAGGAUAAUACAAUCACUUCAUUUUCUCUUUCUGAUGAUGGAGAUUUCUUGCUUGUAAAUCUUAUAAGUGAGAAGAUCCAUUUGUGGAACAUAAGGAAUGACCCCAGUAGAGUGAAACAGUACAUUGGCCAUAAACGCAGCCGGUUUGUUAUAAGAUCGUGCUUUGGUGGAUCGGAUCAGGCCUUUAUUGCCAGUGGGAGUGAAGAUUCAAAGGUCUAUAUAUGGCACAGAGCUACGGAAGAUGUUAUCGAGACUCUUUCUGGUCACUCCGGCGCAGUCAACUGUGUAAGCUGGAACCCUACAAAUCCACAUAUGCUCGCUUCUGCGAGUGAUGAUCACACAAUACGUAUAUGGGGGUUGAAGAAGGCCAGCACAAAGCGGAAGGACAUAGGCAGCAGCAGUAGCAGCAAUGGGACUCACAUGAACGGCAGUGCCAACGGCAACGGUUUCUUUCACCAGUGCAACGGUAGCCGCAGCAAAUGA